UGCAUGCAACAGAUGGCAGCAGG
rnacentral:siRNA from 1 species